UCACAGUCAUAUCACCCUGCAGCCCAAGAGCGGUUACUCACUGAAGCUAAGCAGGGCUGAGUCUGAUCAGAGUCUGGAUAGGAGACCACAUGGAAAAACUAUGUUGCUGUUGGAA
rnacentral:rRNA from 1 species